rnacentral:rRNA from 1 species
AUUGAACGCUGCGGCAGGCUUAACACAUGCAAGUCGAGCGAGCGGCGGUCGGGUGCGUAAUGCUUAGGAAUCUGCCUAUUAGUGGGGGACAACAUCUCGAAAGGGAUGCUAAUACCGCUUACUCAUAGAUGCGCCUAAGUCGGAUUAGCUAGUUGGUGGGGUAAAGGCCUAACAAGGCGACGAUCUGUAGCGGGUCUGAGAGGAUGAACCUGCACACUGGGACUGGGACACGGCCCAGGCUCCUACGGGAGGCAGCAGUGGGGAAUAUUGGCCAAGGGGGGGAACCCUGGUCCAGGCAUGCCGCGGGGGUGAAGAAGGCCUUAUGGUUGUAAAGCACUUUAAGCGAGGAGGCGUUACUCGCAGAAUAAGCACCGGCUAACUCUGUGCCAGCAGCCGCGGUAAUAC